UACGUAGGGUGCGAGCGUUGUCCGGAAUUAUUGGGCGUAAAGGGUAGGUAGGUGGUCUCAUUUGUCUGGGGUGAAAGCCUUGAGCUUAACUCAAGAAGUGCCCCGGAAACGGUGAGACUGGAGUCCUGGAGAGGGUCGUGGAAUUCCCGGUGUAGCGGUGAAAUGCGUAGAGAUCGGGAGGAACACCGGUGGCGAAGGCGGCUUCCUGGACCGACACUGACGCUGAGGCGCGAAAGCUAGGGGAGCAAACGGG
rnacentral:rRNA from 1 species